GCCGGGGAUGAUAUAAUCCAAUUUAUUUGAGGUGUAGUGGAGCCAAGCCCUGUUUUACAGGGGAACCUACUUGGCAGAAGCUACAAUGCAUUGAUAUUACUGGAUUUAACUGAGGC